GGUUUAGGCUGCGAAAAACAUCGAAAUGCUAUAUACUAACUGACAAUUCAAAAAUAGUGCAUUUUGAUAUAGAUGAAGAUGGUCAUCAUGAAAUAUCUACCAAGGAUUCACAAUCCCAUGAAGAUAUUGCGUGGUUAAGCGUGUUCACAAGGAAUGAAGCACCAGAUUCUAAAAUUUUGGUGAGCCUCACACAGAGAUCAAAGCAUAAUGAAUUUGUCUUUUUGUGCAAGAGUAAGAAAAAUCUCUCUCUGAAGGUCUUAAAAGCAUCCUGUUCAGAGCCAGAUUGUCCUUCAUUUAAGGGAUGUGGUACGAACACUUGCAGCCAUGAAAAUCCUGACUUUAAACAGCUGAGUGAAGAGAAUAACCUUUUCAUCAUGCAUAACCAAGGAACUUCAGUGCAGUUCCAGUGCUAUGAAGACAGAAGUUACUAUCUGUGUGUGAAUGAUGACUCACUUGAUAUUCGCAAG